GGGCAAAUGGCACCAAGCUCAGCUAUCUGGGGAAGAGUUUAAAUCUGUUCAUGAGCCCCUCGCACCCGUGCUUCUCUACCUGUGACCUCAUCCCAUCGUCACAAGAGCCCUGUGUGGUACAUGGAAUUUCGUAGGAAAGGAAACUGCUGUUCAGUGAAGGGAGGAACCUGCCCAGACAGGCCUGGGAACCUGCCAGCAAGGCAGUCCACCACCACGUCCUUUUGCCUCUGGCCGCGGCACACUGGAGGGAAGCCGUGGGGCCCUGCAGGGAACCCUGCCUUGUCCAGACUCUGCAAGGUGCCUCUGCAGGGCUUCUGGCGUCCCUUCCACAGGAGCUAUUUGCAACCCUGGGAAUUGUAGAGAACUUCUGUCCUGCCUGGAGAGGCUUGACUGCCCCUGUGGGCCCUGCUGAGAGGCUGGCUCUGCUUCCAUCUGUACUUCAUGCUCCUCACUCCGUGUGAACUCCUGCCACUGGGACUGCCUCUGAGAACCAGUCACAGCACCUGCCAGCUUCCCUCAUGUCAUGAUUUUACCCUUUUUAAAAUUUUCUUCCUACAAAACAUUCACUGAAAGAGACCCUAAAGGAGAACUCUUACCAGCCCCCACCCCACCCCACCGCAGCACAGACUACGCUGGGAUGCCAAGGACUGACAUUCAUACCUGUGUUCUCCUCUCCUUGUGAAGUCCAGAGAACUGAGUGCUACUCUUUUCCUAGUGGCAUUGUCACCGCUGUGAUGAGACUGGACCGCGAGGAGGCAGCAGGAGGAGCGUGGCCACCUCUGCAAUUGACACCAAAGCCCAACCUUUUAUGUGAGAGCGUGGCAGGCUUCCUGAGGUAAACUCUUGACUAACUCACUAGUGACGUGCUGAUUUUCCAAUUUACAAAGGGCUGGAUAAUUAUUAACAUUUUUUUUUCACAUUAGUGGGAGGCAUUCUGAGCAUAUCACUUAAGGACUGCACUAGAGGAAAACAUGGAGUGAACUCGCUGACAACGAUUUUUGAAAUCCAGGGUAAUUAGUUCCAUCAGAACAAUCCCAAUUACAUUCCUAAUUCUCUCUGCCUUGCUGAAAGCACCGAAAGUGAACCAUGUUGGUGUCAUUAUAUUCCUGCUCAGAAGAGUCUUUAUCACCAGCGCUGGGAAUGGAGGAGGGGUUGAGGAAGGGGCCAGUGCCCAGGUUGUGGGAAGCCCCCACAAGGGGACCAAGCCAAUGAUACCAGCGUGGCACAAGGGCCUGAAAGUCAAAGAGUGGCCAGUGCGGGGUGAGGAAGGGGACCAAGUUUCUGGUCGUCUCCCGAGGAAUUCAAGUAACACUCAUGUGAGGACAUUUAUAACGUCAGCUCCAGAGACAUCUUGGUAGCCAAAUGAGGAAAGAAAAUAACUUUCAUCUGAGGAAUUUGAGACCUUUCAAAUUAUUACAGCCAGAGAGACAUUAAAAUGGGACAAUAAGCCAAACACAGUGGCUCACGUCUCUAAUCACAAUGCUUUGGGAAGCCUAGGUGGGAGGGGCGCUUGAACCUAGGAGGUCAAGACCAGCCCGGGCAACACACAAGACCCCAUCUCUGCAAAAAAAUACAAAAAUUAGCCAGGUUGUGGUGGCGUGCACCUGUAUUCCCAGCCACUCAGAAGGAUGAGGUGGGAGGAUUGCUUGAGCCCAGGAGGUCAAGGCUGCAGUGAGCUGUGAUUGCACCACUGCACUCCAGCCUGGGUGACAGAGCAAGACCUUGUCUCAAGAAAAAGACAUCAAUCACUCCCCCUUUUUAACUAUGUAUUCAUCUCUUGGAACUGCUUGCUAUUGCCACAAGUAGCUAUAAAUUAACUUAAUAAUGCCACACUGAAUACUAGAACCCACACUCUAUGGCUUAACAAUGUGUAGCCAUUGAUCAAUAUCAUUUCUGUAAACCAAUGAGAAUUCCUGGCAGACAGCUGUGUAUCAGCCCAUUCCCUGUCCCUUUUACCUUUAAAAAUCCACUUGUAAGUGCUGCUAAUCAGAGUGUUCAUUCAGGGGAACUUGAAUCUAUGUUCUUGGGUUGCAGUCUUCAAGCUUGGACCCAGUUACUUCUCUACUUUUACCAAUUUUGCCUCAGCUUCUUCCUUUUAGGCCGACAUAAACUAAUCCAACAAGUUCAUGUUUACUCAAUCAGAACAAGAUGUGUUGUUCAACCGGCAUUUCCUGCGUGUCAGGGGGUAUAGAGUUCACCUGUAAGGUCAGGGAUGUCGCCCGAUUAGAUCAACAGAGAUCCACCUGGGGGUGGCUGAUGUGCACUACCUCACAUAGCCAGCAGAGGGCAGUGCAGUGCCAAUAGCUGCAGCUUGGCCAUUGACACCUGUAGAAAGAAUCUCAUGUUCAGAAGUCAUUUUACCUUCUGCCUUGUCCCGGAGGAGGGUGCUCAGGCCACAGGCUCUGUGACAGCUCCCCCAGCGAGACAGACUUCCAGGCAGUGCAGAGACAAAACACCUCAAAAACAAACUAGCCCUUUUCUUACUAAUAGCAGCCUCCUCUUUAGCCUUAAAUUCUAUUUCUGUGUGGUUUUUUUUCUCUGCUUUAUCAAAGAUGUCCUCCUAGGAAGUGGCGGGCCCACCUGGCCACACUUGCCUGGGUUGAGGUGUGAAAGAAAUUAACCUGCAAGUCCCCUACUGCCUGGGGCAAUGGUCCGCACCUGCAUCCUCAGCCUGCCCCAGAGCCUGGUGAUAAACAUCAUCUGGUUGGUCAGAGGAUAGAAAGGCUAUCCCACACUGGGUCCUGCACCCACAGGGGCAUGGUGACAUCCAGUUGAAGUCUGGGGGCACUUGGUAAUUUGGAGACAGAUGAGCGCACAAUAGUAGCAAGUCCAGCCCCUGCAGCUCGUGCUGGAGUGAGAAGCCAGGAGCAGAGCCUUUAGCAUGCUGCCCUGGGUGCACAGAUGACUGCACAGCCACAUCCCAGGACCCUGAAGUCUCCUUGAGGGUUCCAAUUUCUCCUGGACAGCUUCAACAAAGGGACCAAGAAGUGCUGAGGGAGAAAUGGAAGGAGACUCACUCUCCACCCUAAGCAAAUCUGUAUUACAGACCCUAGAGCUUGAGAAGGUGGAAGGGAAGGAAGUUUUUGAUUGGGACAAGGAUCUCUCUUGCUCUUAGCACUUAGAAGGGCAUGUGGGCUCAGUAGAUGCUGAAUGACCCUCAUUUUGGGUUGAAUCUCAGAAUCACAGGGAAGGCACAUUAAAGAGUGCACAGACCACACACAUGCACCCACACCAAGGUCCCCACACACCUCCCUGGCCACUCCAAGUCACACAGCAAACUGCUAAGCAGAGCCCCUGAGCAUGGGAGUGUCCCUCAGAGCCCACCAGGAAAUAAGCCCAUCUCAAGGACAGGAAACAAUAAAUACCAGAAAGUGGCCACACUGAUGUGGGGAGAGUUGAGAAGUCAGCCAGGAGCCUGGGCAACCCACAAGCCAGUGAAGACCCAAGACCCAGCUGCCCCUGAGCUGGGGACCUAGGCCUGCCCAAGUAGCUGCUGCCAGACUCACCCGAGACAGACAGAGGGGCCACCCUGGAUUCUCCCCUCCACUAUAAGGUGCAACCGAGAAGGAAGCUAAGAGACACGGAGUCUAGGAAUGUCAGUGUGAGGCCAGGAAUGAAUGCAAGGCUGACAAGCCAUGGACAGAAACAAUAGGACAAGCUGUCUUGAGCCCAGGUGUCCCGUUUCCCAUCCCUAGGUACUUGGAUCAAGACACUAGCAUUGUGGACAAUGGGUGGGAGGAUUACUGUCGUGUGAUUAAGCUGGUGUGGAUGGUUUUGGGAAUGUGUGUGACUAUAAUUUGGAAACUGUGUAUAUGCCUGUUUAGGUACGCAUUAUUUCUCAAACACCCCUGCUGUCUGCUUCAUUGGUUUUCAGUCAUCUCUCAUUGCAAGUGGUGCAUGGAAUUUUUUUAAUGUAUCAGGA
rnacentral:lncRNA from 10 species